GUGAAUUCACAGUAAAUUUUACAUAUUAAAACCUAAAUGAAGCAACUUGGCAAGAAGUGUUACUGUUCAGAAAUCAGCACGUUAUCCUGGCUACAUACAGUUUUCCAUUCUUGCCAGAAUCUAGUAAGCAGAAAUCUUGAUUGUCUCAACACCCUCCAGAACAUCACAUUGGUCCACAGCACUGGAUCGGUUGAGCAGGAAGUCCUCAAAUACCUUAAAUAUCUUGUUAAAUAUCUUAGUGAGAUGUGUGGGCCACAAGGUGGUAGAUAAGCCUGCUCCUGAUACCCACUGGUCCCAUAGGAAAACCAUGGUAGGUGUAACACAGAGGCAAGUUAGUACAAGAAAUGGAUUACUCAGGUGUUAACAUUCACAAAUUCAGGAUGCAGCCACCACCCCUAGGAAAAUGCAGGGACAGACACCAUAACCUAGGAACUCAGAACACCGGUUCUCUAUAUGAUUGUCACUUAGACCCCAGAAGGAGAUGCCACGUAAGUGCUUAGACUUGUGCUAGGGAAGAAGACCCCCACCAAAUGGUUGAUGCUCAAAUCUCUGAUGGGAGUCUGACACAACUAGUGUGCCAGUCACCAAAAGGAUCAUAGCCACCUAGUACUGGUACUUCAAAGGACACCGUGUGAUUGGUAUUGGGGUUGCCAAAAGAAUCUGGAGCCAUCACUAUCAACGGUUGCUAUAGGGUUACUGAGAGGAAGAGCCCCUUGCGUCCUGCCCUUCAUUACCAGCCUGCAUCGUAUUCCGCCAGCUAGCAGGGAAUGUAUUUUGCAGAACUCAGCCUGGGAUCACAGCGGAAAGCAAGAGGGUGAGCUAGGAUCUGAGAGCUUAUUCUUCCUACCCGUAGUACGCUCAUGCAUACCCAGCAUCUCCUCCUACCCAGAAGGCCCAAGGUAUAGUAAUCCCAGCUCCAUCUCUGGCUUACUAUGGCAUUAGACACAUCUUAUGAAUAGAAAUUAUUAAUUUGUAAUCGCAAAAUUUCUUUG
rnacentral:lncRNA from 1 species